UACGUAGGGGGCAAGCGUUAUCCGGAAUUACUGGGUGUAAAGGGUGCGUAGGUGGUAUGGCAAGUCAGAAGUGAAAACCCAGGGCUUAACUCUGGGACUGCUUUUGAAACUGUCAGACUAGAGUGUAGGAGAGGUAAGCGGAAUUCCUAGUGUAGCGGUGAAAUGCGUAGAUAUUAGGAGGAACAUCAGUGGCGAAGGCGGCUUACUGGACUGAAACUGACACUGAGGCACGAAAGCGUGGGGAGCAAACAGG
rnacentral:rRNA from 1 species